UACAGAGGUCCCGAGCGUUGUUCGGAUUCACUGGGCGUAAAGGGUGCGUAGGUGGCGGGGUAAGUUUGAUGUGAAAUCUCCGGGCUUAACCCGGAAAAGGCAUUGAAUACUAUCUGGCUAGAGGUUUGGAGGGGGGACUGGAAUUCUCGGUGUAGCAGUGAAAUGCGUAGAUAUCAGGAGGAACACCGAUGGCGAAGGCAGGUCUCUGGGCUGUAACUGACGCUGAGGAGCGAAAGCAUGGGGAGCGAACAGG
rnacentral:rRNA from 1 species